GCAUCAUGAAGUGCACUCAUGAUAUGUUUGCCCCAUCAGGCUAAUCAUGGAGUGCACUUCACGAUGCAGGCGGAGUUGGCA
rnacentral:miRNA from 1 species